GAUGAACGCUGGCGGCGUGCUUAACACAUGCAAGUCGAACGAUGAAGCCCAGCUUGCUGGGUGGAUUAGUGGCGAACGGGUGAGUAACACGUGAGUAACCUGCCCUUAACUCUGGGAUAAGCCUGGGAAACUGGGUCUAAUACCGGAUAGGAGCGUCCACCGCAUGGUGGGGGUUGGAAAGAUUUAUCGGUUUUGGAUGGACUCGCGGCCUAUCAGCUUGUUGGUGAGGUAAUGGCUCACCAAGGCUACGACGGGUAGCCGGCCUGAGAGGGUGACCGGCCACACUGGGACUGAGACACGGCCCAGACUCCUACGGGAGGCAGCAGUGGGGAAUAUUGCACAAUCGGCGCAAGCCUGCUGCAGCGACGCCGCGUGAGGGACGACGGCCUUCGGGUUGUAAACCUCUUUCAGUAGGGAAGAAGCGAAAGUGACGGUACCUGCAGAAGAAGCACCGGCUAACUACGUG
rnacentral:rRNA from 1 species